rnacentral:lncRNA from 1 species
UGGAGAAGACCAUGAUGUUCAUUGUCUGUAGCACGCUGGUGCUUCUAUGUUCUACAUCAGCAUAUGCACAAAAGGGUGAAUCUCCUCCAUCUUACUCCUUGCAUAAGUAUGCCAUAAAGGUACUUGAAUUAUAAUGAUUGGCAUAACAUAUUUCCUCCCCAAAAAAGUGUAGUGUGUCUGAGUAUUUUCAAUAUUCAUCAAUGCGCACAGUGCACACUGGAAUUAUACAUGGCACAUAUCUUCUGUUACUUGGGCACCAAAACUGCAACAUAUUCCAAAACUUUUUGAAACUGUUCUUCAUUUGGAACUUCUUUCUGGUUUAUUAUGUUGAAUUUUUUUAAUUUGGUGUUGCUCUAAAAGUGUCUGCUGCAAUAGAUAAACUACAGAGCAACAAAAGGAAGUGCCUGGGGCUCUCUCAUUGUUUCAAUUGUUCUAGCAAUCUUAUUGGAUCAACACUUUUGACGAUCAUCUAACUAAAAGCAGCUACAUAUUUAUUGCAAGAUAACAGAUUACAUACAUAAAGAAUUCAUGCAUAUUAGAACUAAGCAUGACCAAUCACAAAUUUAGUAACAGAAGAUUAAGACCUUUUCUUCGAAGAAUUAACCGGCCAAAAAACAAAAAUAAGAUAAUUUGAUCUCACUUACAAAGGGACUUCUUGCAAGAGAAAAGACCAAGUAAUAUUACUGAUCUUCGACUUAUUUGUAGAAUUUUAUAGUGAAAAAUCAUUAGUUUCCUGAUAUCCUCGGAUUUAUCUUUUGUGUCUUCAGCUUAGAAUAUCUUGUAGUAAUCAGCAAAUAUGUACAUACUUUGUAUUCUUGUAUCAAGUAUAUAUAAAGGACUCUUUCCCUAUCAAUAUAACAUACAUCAGGCAUAUCAUUCUGAUUUACAGGAGAGCUAGGAAAAUGAGCUGGUGGUGGUCUAGUGUCGCUGUUGCUGCAAGGGUAUUCUUCUGUAUCGAUUACACUAAUCUAUUCAUCAUCUAUGUUCAUGUAUAGGUCAGUCAUGAGUUUUUUAAUCAUUUAUUUAUUAAAAAAACUCUCAAUCAAUAAAAUGUUCCGUCGAACUAUGGGAGUGUGGCCCUGGUUGUGGGCAUCACAGGCAUCGUUGGCAACAAUCUGGCCUUGUCUUUAGUCUAAUGCACAGUGGUCCUCUCCUAUAUCCUUUAUGAAUAUCUUUAGUCUGGCCUUGUUUCGCUUGGAUCUUAUUUAUCUAUUUUAAGUUUUUUCAGGCUAAAAGAAUGAAUUACUUGCAUACAAGCAAUCUUUUGAUUGUACAUUGAGACCUGAAAACUCUGAAUCUCCUUGUUGAUAAGAACUGAGUUGUUAAGUUUAGAUUGGUAUUGGGCCUAUUGGCCUUUAAGUCCUCACACACACACACACACAUAUUACAAACUAAUUCCAUUUUUUCUUUGCUUGAAGAACUAAGAAUUUAUUUUAUUUCUUGCUGAAAUGUAAUUAUAAUUUUUAAUGUCUACAGGUUUGUGAUUUUGGGAUGUCAUGGUUUGUAGGUAUCUUACUGGUGUCAUACUUAUUUCCUUCUAUUACUGCAGUUCAUGUAUUGUUGAUGGAAGCUCUAGGUUUUCUGAUAUGGAGGAAGGUGAUUACUCUGGAAAUAUUUUAUGCUUAUAGUUGUUGGGCUACUGGUGUACUAGGAGUCCAUGAUUAAAAGAUUACCGGACAGCCUAUAAGUUCUAUUAAGUAGAAAUUGACUAAAGAUUACAGGGCAGUCUCCAUGAUUAACAAUUUAUAAGAAUAUAUAUCCAAGUCUAAUGGGAAACAUACAAAAAAGAAAAGUGCAAGUCCAGAUACAAGUGUUUUCCCUUCGGUCAUCAUUUGUAGUGUAUAUAUAGCCAUGCAAUACAGCUUUAUAUAUUGUAAUGUAAAAUUAGAAUUAGCUAAGUUGUCCUCUGGAACAAGUGUUUAAUAUAGUUGAUAGAGUUUUAUUUAUUUAUUUAUUUAUUUUUAUUAUUCUAAUGGAUAUAUGACAUGAUUAUAUACUUGUUGGUGUAGGAUAUCAAUGGACUUGAAGAUCUCUAAUUAAAGAUUAUGAUAUGGAGGAUAAACUUAACAAAAACUGAAGACAAUCCUCGGACAUUUGGCUGAGAAGAAUUAUGUGCCGGUGGUCAGAAUUAACAUGAGUCGAAUGCCAAUAGCAAUGCAGCUUCAUAUUCAUGAUUAGUUGUACUUAGUUGUACUGUGAUCUAGAUUUGGCCCAUUUUUUGAUGUCAAAAAUUUGAUGUACUUCAUCUAUUUUGGCCUAUUUCCAUUUCUAAACUCGAAAUUGUUUUUUUAUUUAGUAACUAUGGUACUCAUCUUGGUUGUGGUUGUCUAGGAAUGAUCAUAGUUGUGGUUGGUAAUAGCGUUAGUACUGUUUUUGGGAUUUGUUGGUGUUGAACUUUUAAUGGUGGAUUAAUAUAU